UACGGAGGGGGCUAGCGUUAUUCGGAAUUACUGGGCGUAAAGCGCACGUAGGCGGGUCAGCAAGUUGGGGGUGAAAUCCCGGGGCUCAACCCCGGAACGGCCCUCAAAACUGUUGGUCUUGAGUUCGAGAGAGGUGAGUGGAAUUCCGAGUGUAGAGGUGAAAUUCGUAGAUAUUCGGAGGAACACCAGUGGCGAAGGCGGCUCACUGGCUCGAUACUGACGCUGAGGUGCGAAAGCGUGGGGAGCAAAC
rnacentral:rRNA from 1 species